CACACACACACAUACACUGCCCACCCAUAUACACACAGACCCCCAUACACAGCCCCCCAUACUAACAUUGCCAUACACAUACACUGCCCACACACCCUACACAUUCACACACUACACCCCCACACACACACUGAACCUUUCACACACAUUGCACCACUGCUCCUAUUCCCUACUACAGCCUCAUAUCCCAGCAGACCCCAGGUAAGUUGUCAAACUGUUCUUAAACGAUUUGACUACUUACUCUGGAGCAGUAGUGGUUAUUGUGCAUGGAUUAUUUCUUUAAAUAAUCUACAAGUGCCCCAGUAGCCAGCCAGCCAACCCACAGGCUGGCCAGUAGCCAGCCAG